rnacentral:rRNA from 1 species
UACGGGGGGAGCAAGCGUUGUUCGGAUUUACUGGGCGUAAAGGGCGCGUAGGCGGCGUGACAAGUCACUUGUGAAAUCUCCGGGCUUAACCCGGAGCGGCCAAGUGAUACUGUCGUGCUAGAGUGCGGAAGGGGCUACUGGAAUUCUCGGUGUAGCGGUGAAAUGCGUAGAUAUCGAGAGGAACACCUGCGGCGAAGGCGGGUAGCUGGGCCGACACUGACGCUCAUGUGCGAAAGCGUGGGGAGCAAACAGG